UACGGGGGGGCGAAGCGUUGUUCGGAAUUACUGGGCGUAAAGGGCUCGUAGGCGGCCAACUAAGUCAGACGUGAAAUCCCUCGGCUUAACCGGGGAACUGCGUCUGAUACUGGGUGGCUUGAAUCCGGGAGAGGGAUGCGGAAUUCCAGGUGUAGCGGUGAAAUGCGUAGAUAUCUGGAGGAACACCGGUGGCGAAGGCGGCAUCCUGGACCGGUAUUGACGCUGAGGAGCGAAAAGCCAGGGGGAGCAAACGGGG
rnacentral:rRNA from 1 species